rnacentral:rRNA from 1 species
AGAGUUUGAUCCUGGCUCAGAUUGAACGCUGGCGGCAGGCUUAACACAUGCAAGUCGAGCGGUAACAGAGAUAGCUUGCUAUCUGCUGACGAGCGGCGGACGGGUGAGUAAUGCUUGGGAAUAUGCCUUUGAGUGGGGGACAACAGUUGGAAACGACUGCUAAUACCGCAUAACGUCUACGGACCAAAGGGGGGGACGCUUCGGCACCUCUCGCUCAUUGAUUAGCCCAAGUGAGAUUAGCUAGUUGGUAAGGUAAUGGCUUACCAAGGCGACGAUCUCUAGCUGGUUUGAGAGGAUGAUCAGCCACACUGGGACUGAGACACGGCCCAGACUCCUACGGGAGGCAGCAGUGGGGAAUAUUGCACAAUGGGCGAAAGCCUGAUGCAGCCAUGCCGCGUGUGUGAAGAAGGCCUUCGGGUUGUAAAGCACUUUCAGCGAGGAGGAAAGGUUAGUAGUUAAUAACUGCUAGCUGUGACGUUACUCGCAGAAGAAGCACCGGCCUAACUUUCGUGCCAGCAGCCGCCGGUAAUACGAGGGGGGUGCAAGGCGGUUAA